rnacentral:misc_RNA from 1 species
CCAGAGUCCGAGGCAGAGCGAACAUGAGAGGGGGAGCAAAUGGAGGGAUCCAGCUCACCUGGCGCUUCAUGUGGCGCUUGAUACCGAAGGCGAGCCCGUGGAGGCCCCACCGCCCGACGGUGAGCUCCCACGUGCGCCGCGCCGUGCGCGCGGCUACCGCGGCCGCCUCGCAGCAGGUCACGGGUGCCCUGUCCGGCCACGGCUCCUCCUCCUCGCGGUCGCUCCCCGGCCCCGAGCCCGACAGGAGCGGCGACGCCUCGUCCUCCCCCCUUUCACUCUCCCUCUGGGCGUCCAGCGCCGGCUGUGGGCGGCAGUUGAGGAGCAGGCAGAGCAGGACCGCACCGGCCGACGCAGCGGCCGCAGCAGCAGCGACGGCGGCGGGCAUCGGGGGCGUCUCGGGAUUCGGAGCGGCGCCGGCGCGGGCGGGGAGGAAAGGAUUUGGGCGAUCGCGAGGAAAGGAC